GAAAUGCGAUAAGUAGUGUGAAUUGCAGAAUUCAGUGAAUCAUCGAAUCUUUGAACGCACAUUGCGCCCCUUGGUAUUCCAUGGGGCAUGCCUGUUCGAGCGUCAUUUGUACCCUCAAGCUCUGCUUGGUGUUGGGUGUUUGUCCCCGUCUCCGCGCGUGGACUCGCCCCAAAGUGAUUGGCAGCCGGCGUACUGGUCCCGGAGCGCAGCACAUGUCGCGCAAACGAGUGCUUGGUACGGCGGCGUCCAUAAGCCCCUCUCUCACGCUCUUGACCUCGGAUCAGGUAGGGAUACCCGCUGAACUUAAGC
rnacentral:misc_RNA from 1 species